UUGAGAUUUUAACACGAAGUGAGUGGCGAACGGGUGAGUAACACGUGGGUAACCUGCCCAGAAGUAGGGGAUAACACCUGGAAACAGAUGCUAAUACCGUAUAACAGAGAAAACCGCAUGGUUUUCUUUUAAAAGAUGGCUCUGCUAUCACUUCUGGAUGGACCCGCGGCGUAUUAGCUAGUUGGUGAGGUAAAGGCUCACCAAGGCAGUGAUACGUAGCCGACCUGAGAGGGUAAUCGGCCACAUUGGGACUGAGACACGGCCCAGACUCCUACGGGAGGCAGCAGUAGGGAAUCUUCCACAAUGGACGCAAGUCUGAUGGAGCAACGCCGCGUGAGUGAAGAAGGGUUUCGGCUCGUAAAGCUCUGUUGUUAAAGAAGAACGUGGGUAAGAGUAACUGUUUACCCAGUGACGGUAUUUAACCAGAAAGCCACGGCUAACUACGUGCCAGCAGCCGCGGUAAUACGUAGGUGGCAAGCGUUAUCCGGAUUUAUUGGGCGUAAAGCGAGCGCAGGCGGUCUUUUAAGUCUAAUGUGAAAGCCUUCGGCUCAACCGAAGAAGUGCAUUGGAAACUGGGAGACUUGAGUGCAGAAGAGGACAGUGGAACUCCAUGUGUAGCGGUGAAAUGCGUAGAUAUAUGGAAGAAC
rnacentral:rRNA from 1 species